rnacentral:rRNA from 1 species
AUGUCCGGCCGCGGCAAGGGAGGGAAGGGCCUCGGCAAGGGCGGUGCCAAGCGCCACCGGAAGGUUCUCCGCGACAACAUCCAGGGCAUCACCAAGCCGGCCAUCCGCCGUCUGGCGCGCAGGGGCGGCGUGAAGCGCAUCUCGGGGCUCAUCUACGAGGAGACCCGUGGCGUGCUCAAGAUCUUCCUUGAGAACGUCAUCCGCGACGCCGUCACCUACACGGAGCACGCCCGCCGCAAGACCGUCACCGCCAUGGACGUCGUCUACGCGCUCAAGCGACAGGGCCGCACCCUCUACGGAUUCGGCGGCUGA